GGACAUGUUUUUGCUCACCGAGGAGGAGUCAGCUGGUUGACUUCCAGUAGCUGCCUAGCCACCGCCUUCUUUCUGCCCCCCUCUUUUCCUCCUCUCCUCCUCUUCCUCCUCAGCCGCUACUGCAGCAGCAACCCGGCGCAUCCUGGAUCCAUGAAGAAAGCCCCCCUGCACGGCACGUCCCCCGCCACGAUGGGCCGCAAGCUAUAUAGGCUACUGCGUUGAUGUGUUGAUAUUGAGAUAUUUCAGUUAUCAAAUAUGAAUCAUGCAUUUGAUAUUUCUGGCCACUUUGCUCGUCAGCAUCCUUUCGCCUUGGCUUCAUCUAUCACUAGCGUCAUCCGGUUUUUCAUGUCUGUGCGGUGGGAAUUGUCUUGCAGUUUCUCAAGGAGUAGAGGACAAGGUUGAGAGGGACGCAGUGCCAGCCCUGCUGAAGCAACAGGCAACUGCAGCACCUGCUACAGACAACACAACACACCAUGCAGUAGAGCAUGUGAUCACCUACCCCUCGCGGUUGAUCUACUACCUAAACGAGGACUCGGAGAGUACCUACCAUGACCUGGACACCCGGAUCAAGAACCAAGCCACAGAGGGGCAGGCAGUCCACCUCGCCCAAGCCAGUUUCCAGUUAGAGGCAUUUGGCUCCAGAUUUGCUCUGGAUCUAGCAUUGAACACUGACUUGCUGUCUUCAGAUUAUGUUGAGAUCCACUAUCAGGCGGGUAAACCUGUUCAGUCAAAGGGCGGUGAGCACUGUUACUACCACGGCCAGGUGAGAGGGAACGAUAACUCCCACGUGGCCUUAUCUACCUGCAACGGGCUGCAUGGGAUGUUUGACGAUGGAGUCUAUGUGUAUCUAAUUGAGCCCUUACAACAGACUCAUUCAAUCGAUACAGCUGCAAGGCCUCACAAACUAAGAAGAACAGCCUCCUUUCAGUGGAACAAUGAUUCAGAGGAACAGAUUGAGGACGAAGAGCAGCUCUUCUCGGAGCUGGAUGACUUGUCCUGGCUGAAGCGCAGGAAAAAGCGAGCAAUGCCUCGCAGUGUAUUUGAGGAGAUGAAGUAUUUGGAAAUCAUGAUUGUCAGUGACCACAGUAUGUUUAGACGACACAGGACCAAGCAGCACACAAGGAAUUUUGCCAAGUCAGUGGUGAAUGUUGUGGAUGCUAUCUUCAAAGAGCAGCUACAUACACGUGUGGUGCUCGUUGCUGUGGAGAUCUGGACGGACAAGGAUCAGAUCCCCAUCAGUGUGAGGCCGCUGGAGAUGCUGCGGGAUUUCUCCAAGUACCGGCAGCAGAACAUCAAGCACCAUGCCGACGCUGUGCACCUCUUCUCAAAUGCGACCUUCCACUACCGCUGGAGCAGCGCUGCAUACUUUGGAGGCAUGUGUUCUGUGAGCCGAGGAGUAGGGGUCAAUGAGUAUGGCAACAGCUUGUCCAUGGCAGGGUCUCUAUCCCAGAGCCUGGCUCAGAACCUGGGCAUCCAGUGGGACCCAGCAUCCAAGAGAAAGGAAUGCGGUUGUGUUGACCCAUGGCCUGGCUGCAUAAUGGAGGACACUGGAGUCCAACAUCCACGGAGAUUUUCCAAAUGCAGCAUCUCAGACUACAAGGAGUUCCUUUUAAAAGGUGGAGGCUCGUGUCUGUUUAACAGGCCAACCAAGCUGUUUGAGGCAACAGAAUGCGGUAAUGGAUUUGUGGAAGUGGGAGAAGAGUGCGACUGCGGAGCGAGAGCAGAGUGCUACAAGGAAUGCUGCAAGAAGUGUUCCCUCGCCAAUGGGGCGCACUGCAGUGAUGGCCCGUGCUGCAAUAACACAUGUCUGUUUUAUCCACGAGGUUACAGUUGCCGCUAUGCUGUGAACGACUGUGAUAUCUCAGAGACUUGCUCUGGGGACUCUGGACAGUGCCCUCCCAAUCUUCAUAAACAAGAUGGUUACCUCUGCCAGGUAAACCAGGGCCGCUGCUACAACGGAGAGUGCAAGACAAGAGAAAACCAGUGUAAAUACAUCUGGGGGUCAAAGGCUGGAGGCUCUGAGAAGUUCUGCUAUGAGAAGCUGAACACGGAGGGCACAGAGAAGGGCAACUGUGGAAAGGAUGGAGAAAAAUGGAUCCAGUGUAGCAAACAUGAUGUGUUCUGCGGUUACCUUUUGUGUUCCAACAUCGGCCGCAACCCACGCGUCGGAAUGAUGAAAGGAGAUAUCACCCCAGCCUCCUUCAACCAUCAAGGCAGACUGGUAGACUGCAGUGGUGGCCAUGUCCUUUUGGAUGAUGACACUGAUUUAGGCUACGUGGAGGAUGGGACUCCCUGUGGGCCGUCAAUGAUGUGCCUUGACCGCAAGUGUCUGCCCAUCCAGUCACUCAACAUGAGCACCUGCCCUAGUGGACCUAAUGGACAGGUGUGCUCUGCCCAUGGGGUGUGCAACAAUGAAGCCACAUGCACCUGCGACACCACCUGGGCGGGGACAGACUGUAGCAUGCCUGACCCGCCUAAAGAGCCUGAGGCCACUCAGGACGAAGGACCCAAGGUGAGCGUGGCCACUAACAGGCUGAUAGGGGCAGUAGCAGGGACCAUUCUGGCCCUGGGGGUGAUUUUUGGAGGCACAGGGUGGGGAAUAGAGUCCUAGUGCCACCAAUCUAAUAAUAGGCUCCAUCGCCGGAGCCAUCCUUGUGGCUGCCAUAGUGCUGGGGGGGACUGGAUGGGGCUUUAAAAAUGUGAAGAAACGGCGAUACGACCCCAACGCCUCAGCCAUUUGACCCAGGGAGAGAUGGCAAUUGACAGACGGACUCCUCCAAGGCUUCCUUAGUUGGCUACCUGACAGCUGGACUGCACUUAUUGCUGCUGAUCUUUGGCAUUAGAUAUACUUGAAAAAGACAUAGUGGACAUUUUAACAAAUUCCAUCGUAGUGACUUUAGAAAUGCAGCCUUUUCAACUCCACCUCACCCAUGUAACAAACCCACACCCCCACCCUGAUCUCUAGAGUGACAGAGCUCCUCUUCCAUCCUUUAGUGCCAGUGCACAGGCGUUCAGGCGGAAUCCACACCACUUUCUCACCUGGCAUGAUUAUCUGCACAGAAGUGUGCUGCUUGCUGGCCCCCUGGCAUGAAGAGCCCUCUCUGCAGGGCUCUGCAUGGCUACGAAAGCUAUGAAUAUACCACAAAAAAAAAACAUACAAAGAGAAGAAAAAAAACGGAAUCAUCUAAUGCAGGAGAUAGACCUCGUUAAAAACCAAAUCCAGUUGAAAGCCGGUUAAAGCUCCUAUAGCUCACGUUUUAGGUGCUGUAGAUGAUUAAAGAGGCUCCAGGUGAGGACCCAUAAGGGCAGUGCAGACCACAUAGUGAAUGCACACACCCCAAAUUGUACAUAAAUAAGGAGUUCAGGUUUGGAAUUAACAGCAUAUUUUACAAAGACAUCAAUUGCUUUUGUUUUUUAUCUUAGCAUGUUGUAUAGCGGGUGUUUUUGGCAAUGUUAUUUAAAAGAAUUGGAGAUUUGGGCCAAAAUUGUAAUCGCAUGCUGCACAGCCUCCUGUGAUUGUUUGGGCGGAGGUCAAAGGUUAGAUUCAGCGGACAGAGUCGCCGUGGUUGUUGAGGAGAAGCAUGUCAGUUCUAGAGGAAUUCAGACUGAUAUGUCCGAUUAACGUCACAGACCCCCCCCCCCCUCCCCUGAAGUAUCUUCUACAGUGACUCAAAGGCCAAAGAACCAAUCACCUGAACAUAUGGAUGUUGUUGCACACAGAACACUUUCCCCUCUGUCUGCAGCCAGUGGUGCCUCUCCUACUGCUGAAGGCAUGAAGUCUGUCCAUGCAGGUGCUCCCCUGUCCAGCCAGGUCUUACGUAACAGUCCUCAAUAACACCCACUAUACUGGCUUAACCUUUUUGCUCUCAUAAACUCUUAGUAGAAAUCAAGUUCAGCUCAACUGGUAACGCUGCAUGCAAUCACUAUAGUGGGCUUAUAAUUCUAUAUGGGAGUCCCCAAAAUCCGCAAGAAAAAUAUGCUACAAAAGAUAGGUGCAUGUCAACAACAAAAACAUUUAACUUUUAUUUACUAUGCAAAGAGAGAUAUUGCACAAACGUAUGGGGAAUAAUGAUAUCAAUGUAGACAUGGAAUUACAAAACCAUUCUGCUAAUCAGCUAAUCUUUUGUAUUUGGCCACUCCACGUCUCAUUUCACUUUGCUUCAACAUACUCCAACUAUGAAUGGACAAAUAGAAAAAAGAUAAUUAUUAAUAUUUCCAAUGAAAAGCAAGAGAGCAACCUUUUACAUUUGUGGAACUGAAAAUCAUUUUUGUGUGUUUUUCAUCCGGUCUGAUGUUUUUAAUCUCACACAUGCACACACACGUACACAAACACGCUGUAUGGUGCCUGUACAUUUUGAGGCCUGAACAGUUUCCUUGUGCAGGGCUAUUAUUUUCAGUCCAGCUGAUAGUUGGUGUGUUCCAGGUGCUGCCAUAGCACUGGCAUCGUUGUAAUCCUCCAUGUUACUCAUCAUCUGGUGUCCCUCUCUCACUGCAUCAUGUACAGUUGGACCGAUGAAUAAACUACUGACAAAUUUU